AGGAACCAUCUGACAUGUCCCCACCCUCACUGUACUGAGGAAGGCAGAUGCUGAAGCCCACCUGUCAGUCUUGUUAUCUUUGUCUAGAAAAGAAUUUACAGUCUUAGAAUUUAAGUCUCUGCUUCAAUUGGUUUCCAUGGUAACUUGGUUCUGUUUUAAAACCUCUAUAUAAAAUUGAGUUGGUUAAAAUGUUAGUGCCGGAAUGGUUGCCCAUACCUCAAUUACACCGUUUCCAUUGAUCAACAGCAUUCUGUUAGGGGUGUCCCUCCAUCUGCUCUAGUUCCUUUAACACCUACAACACUCUGCCUCACUAAGCAAAUCAGUCAGUUCUUAUCUCACUUUUCAGAGACACAGAAUUUGGGCACUGACUAGUGAUAACACGUUGCAUGCUGUGAAGUACAGAGUGAGACAUGUUAGGCUCUGGAGACUCGACCUCACUAGGGAAGGGUCCUUGUGUGUACAGUAACCACACUGGGGCUGAAAGCUCCAAGGGCAGUAGUAUCUGUUAAAAGAUACCUGAAGAACCAGAAGGACAGGAUCUCCCUUCUAGAAAACUAUUUCCAUCAAGGUACAAGAAUUUCCCCUUCACAGUCCAGAUCAAGGGAAAACAAAAGUUUAGAAAAGCAAAUGAGAGUUUUAGUUGAUUUUAAGAAUCCUGUGAUAAUGUUCCAUCACUGUGGUUAUGAACAUUUUAUCCAACCUUUUGUUAUCCCAUAUCUUAGUUUCAAGAUUUUCUCAUGCACUCAUAAUUUCUGAUUCUCUGGACUAGUUUGACUUUGUGAUAAUAAUUCUGGUUACUGGUCGCAAAUCUCAUCUAGGAAAAAAAAAAACAAUAUUUUUUAUCUAACUUAAAUACUUCAGGGAUAAUCCAAGUUACAGUUGCAAGGAAAUGUUAAAGAAUUUCUAACAUGGAGAUGAUACAGCUCUUCAACAAUUACUCUGAAAAUUUAAUGCAUUUCAUAAGAGAUGAUGCCUUACCUGUAUGAUUAAAAGCUCUUAAAAUUCUAUACUAGAUUUGCUUUUCUGAGUUGCAUUGGGUACCUACCUAUUAGUAUAGAAAAUAUUUGUUCCAUAAGAGGCACAGAUAGAAUUAAUGAAAAAUAAUUUUUCACUGCUGUAUUUGGCAUGCAGACAUGCCAAAAGCUGAAUGUGUGUAUAUGCCCAUUAAUUUACAACUGAGAUUGUCUAAAUACUUGGUAAAGAUCUUUGGUUUUGCACUGUGACAAAAAGAUUAUUUUCCUGUGAUAAGUGAUUGUCCAGCUGGUCCUAUUAUGUGUCUUAAAUAACAGAAACAAGU
rnacentral:lncRNA from 7 species